rnacentral:lncRNA from 1 species
CUGUUUUUCUUUUAAAAUCCCAGGUUGCCUACUCAAAAGACUAAAGGCCAGAAAGCUUAUGAAAUGUUAAAUUUUAAAAUAAUUGUUAUUAUAGUGUUUCCAUUUGUGAACAACAUAUAUGUGUGUAUGAAUAAAAUUUAUAAAUGGACAUAACCUUAUACACAAGAUUUAAAAUAACCCCUGGGCACAUGUGGGCCCAACCCAGAGAUAGCCCUUCCUGAAAUGACUGGAGCCAAGAGCCUGUCACGCUCGCGGUAUUCAGUGCAAGGUCUGAUCGCGUCUUCUGUCACUCAAGGCCUGAGGGCGCGGAGCCUGGAGCUCUAUCCAUUAAGGGCGCUGGGGUGGGAACUGUCCAAUCAGGUUCACAGUCAGAGAGGAAGGGGUGGCUCCCGGUACCUGGCGGGGCCUUUGUCUCUUGCUCCAGCCAGAGCUCGAGGUUAGCUCUUCACUGCCCUGUGUCUUCUUUCCAAGGGUCUCGGUGAUUCGGCCACAGCCUCAGCCUCCAUCACGCGGUGAACUGAUGGUGCUGGAAGAUUCAUAGACUCCAGGACAUUCCUGAAGCCGAGAAAAGGUUAAGUAGGGUCUGGCCUGGAAUACUCUCCUAGAUGAAGAUAGCCCAACCAUGAGCCACCUUCGAAGCAGAUGAGAUGAAAUUAAAGCUCUUCAACUCCUAAAGGCCCAGAGACUAUCACAAAAGAGGUCAGAAAUCCUGAAGGUCACUUUCUGACAAACUCAGGAACCCCAGGUUUAUCUUGGAGCCUCAAGAGGAGAUAAAUUCACCCAACUCAGAAUUGGAAAAAACUACUUUAAACUUCAUAUGGAACCA